GGCACGCCUUAAAAUCAGAGAGAGAGAGAGAGAGAGUCAGUUAUAUUUAGAUACAUUUUGAAUUGUUGGGUCUUUCUUUUUUUCUUCCUUUUAAAAAGUUUUUUUUUUUUUUAAGAAGUACAAUGAUUUUAAGGUGAUUUCUUAAGAUUCAUUUCUGUUUUGAUUUCUUGAUUAAGGAAGUUCAAAUUAGCCUCUGCAGAACAGAUCACCCUGAAAAUUACCAUGCUAUUGGCACUUGAAAGAGAAAAUUUUAUCAGUGCCAAGAAUAAAGGGAAUUUAAUGGUAGCAUUCUAUGUUAGGAAUUAUUAAAAUAAGUAACAUGGAAAGCAUUAACGUUUGGCCUCAAACUCGCUAUUAUCUUAUUAUAUGAAUAGCAGCAUCUAUGAGAAUCGUACUUUGAAGUAACAUUUUGUUAUGAUAAAUAGCGUUAAGUAACAGUGCAUAUAAUUACAUAGAACGUCAGGAAUCUGGAAGAGACAUCCGCGAUCAUCAUCUCAUCCAGACCGCACUCCAUGCAGAUGAACAUAUACCACAUUUCAGGAUUUUGUUGACCCAGAGUUUUCUCUGCUUCUGUUUAUUUGGAAAAGACAUGAAGGAUAACACAGAAUUUGAAAUUGACUUUGUUUGGAAAUCAGUAUAAUACAGAGAACAUUUAGAUUUUGUAAAAAGUUGAAGACAACGAUUUUUCACACUAACAGAAUGGUGUAAUGGUGUCCAACUAGCUGGCUGUCCAUGGGAACACUCCAAAUCAUGCCCUUCUUUGGACCUUCAACGUUGAAGUCUUUGGAUGGACGGGACGUAAUCAGAUUUGUAUUUUGGAAAGAUGGCAUUAGUGGCAGUUUGAGUAACGAGUCUGGGACCAGCACAGAAGCUGGGGAUCUACUUCUGAAAUAACCCAGGUAAUGGGUCCUGUGAGCCUGAACUGGAAGAGAGGGAGUGGGACUAAAGGACUGGGGACAGAUCUGAAAGAUAUUCAGGAGAUAGUAUGAGUAGGUCAGUAUGACCCAUGGAAAAGAUUUUAUUUCUGCUUCGAAAAAGACAGUCUCUGGUUUGGGCUUUUAACUGUAAGUGGCUAUUCCUAAGUUAUAAGGAAACAUAAUUCCUAGUAUUGUUUGUUGUUUUUUUUUUAAAGGUUUUCAUUAUGAAUAAGUCCUGGGUUUUAUGAAGUGCUUUUUCAAUACAUACUAAAACCAUCAUAUGGUGUCUUACUCAGGCUACUAAAGUAUUAUAUUCAUAGAGUUCCUUAGGUUGGAUUGUAAAAUUUCUGGGCUAAGUUUUACUUGGUUAUGACACUUCAUUCUUCUAAGGAAGUAUUGAUUUUUUCUUGUAACAAAGGCAAAUAUUUUAUUAUCUUAACAGCUGCUACCAUACUUUUUCUUACAUAGGAUCUUACUCUAGAAAAGUCCUUUGAAAAAGCCUUUUGAGGUGACUCUGAUAACAAUGUGGUCAGCAAGGGGCCACAAGAUCAGUCAAUAAAUAUGAUUGAGCAUCUACUGUGGUUCUGGCCCUAUUCUAAGUCUCUAGGGGAUUGAGUCGUGAGCAAGACAGAUGAAACCCCCUGAUUCUGUAGAGCUUACAUUCCAAUUAGAGAUAAAGAAAUUAAACAGGUAACAAAUAACGAAGGUAAUCAUUAAAGUUCGUGAAGAAAGGAAAGGGUGUUGAUUUUGAUUAUAUGGCCACAGAAAUCCUCUCCAGGGAAGUAACAUGAGGGAAAGGCAAAAGAGGAGAUGACUCAAUUACUCUGUUUGAGACAAUGGGAUAAAUCCAUUUUUGGCAUCAGAGAAAGAGAGGGUAGAGGGGAAAGACACAGGAGGGGGAAAGGGUGGGGAGAAAAUACUCAGCAAGUUUGUAAAGAAUCACGUGAGGUAGUGCAGCCACAGAAUUUCUUCCAAUUUCCAGUUAAUUUUGACAGCCAACUAACUGUAAUAUCUCAUUGUAAUGAAUAUAGAUAAAUACCAAAGAAGAGAGUGGCACAAUGACAGAGUGAAUCUGAGUCUUGAGACUUUUUUGGUAUUUUUUUUUAAAGAGCAC